UUUAGAUCCGUAUCCUUGUUUAGAAAGAUAAUAAGUCUAUAUGUAAUCAUUUUUUACACCCGUACAAAAUCCAAGCAACAUAACUCUCAUGCCAUAAAAUGUUCCCUACAACAAGAAGAAACAAGUUGUCGAAAUUUAAUUAUUAUUGAAUUUCAUUAUUCAAGAUCAAACUUCUAUGAAUGUCUAAAAUGCUAGGAGGAUAGAAGUAGAUCCACCCUUAAUAUAAUGUUGCUGAUAGGAUCUUGAAAGCCCG
rnacentral:misc_RNA from 1 species